rnacentral:rRNA from 1 species
AGGGAAUCUUCCACAAUGGACGAAAGUCUGAUGGAGCAACGCCGCGUGAGUGAUGAAGGUUUUCGGAUCGUAAAACUCUGUUGUAAGGGAAGAAGCGAAAGUGACGGUACCUGCAGAAGAAGCGCCGGCUAACUCCGUGCCAGCAGCCGCGGUAAUACGUAGGGCGCAAGCGUUGUCCGGAAUUAUUGGGCGUAAAGAGCUCGUAGGCGGUUAGUCGCGUCUGCUGUGAAAACUCGAGGCUCAACCUCGGGCUUGCAGUGGGUACGGGCUGACUAGAGUGCGGUAGGGGUGACUGGAAUUCCUGGUGUAGCGGUGGAAUGCGCAGAUAUCAGGAGGAACACCGAUGGCGAAGGCAGGUCACUGGGCCGCAACUGACGCUGAGGAGCGAAAGCAUGGGGAGCGAACA